rnacentral:lncRNA from 1 species
UUGUUAUUAUUAUUAUUAUUAUAAUAGAGUAAUAGAUGUUCAUAGAACCAACGAGGUAGUUUCUAGUAGGUUUCAUGAUAUUCUUUGUCAAAUAGAAUUACUCAUAACACACACAACACGUACCCUCAAAACACGCUCUACGUAAAGUACAUUAAUUAACAAUAAUAUUAAUAGCCAACAAGAGGAAGAAGAAGAACAUAAAGAGGGUUCAAAUUACGUAAUGGAAGAAGCACCUUCUUCUUGGCCUAAUAAUAAGAGGAAGGGAAUUGUGGAAUAUGAUCACUUGAUUAAUCAUGUGGAUGCAAACCAUGAAGAGGACAACAGCAAGAGGAUUACAAGCUCGUGUGAAGAAGAAGAACAAGAAGAGAAUACUAUUAUUCAUCAAAAUGAUGAUAUUAUAAUGGCUAAGAUACAAGAGAUUUUUGGGAAAGAUCAUGUUGAAGUUUUUCCAAUAAAGAAGAAGAAGAAGCAAAGGAGAUAUCGUUCUCUUGUGAAUAUAUACAUGUCUACAACACCUAUUCAUGUUGGAAAUUAACCAUACAUACAAUAAGAGUGAGAACUCCCACAAUGUGAGUUUUACUUACGGACAAUGUAACUAGCUAGUCUUAAUAAUUGUAAAAUGGGUGUCCCAGAUUUUUCAAAUAUGUUAAUGCUACUUCGUUUGAGUGUUAAAAAAAUGUUUAGUGCUACUUGUGUUUAUUGUUAUUUUCCGUUGUUACUUGUGUUAAUCUUAAUAUAAUUAAUGUGGAUUGAAUAUAUAAAGUAGAAAAAUGUUUGAGAUUUGAUUCAAAUUGAAGAAAUUGAGGAAAUUGAAAUUGUCUUAUAUUGAGUGGAAUUGUAAAAGAAUAAGGAGUUCAAACUUAUAAAAUAUGAUUAUAGUUCUUCGUUACAAAUUGCAUCGGUCGAAAAUAAUUUAAGUUUGUAUUUGAUUUUUUUUUUCUCUUUUAUUUCUGUAUUAAAGUGUUGUAAAAUAUAGUUGAAAUAUUUUUUUGAAGAGUGUGGUUGUAUUGCGAAGUCGUACGGGUACGAGAGAAG